rnacentral:rRNA from 1 species
GGAAUAUUGGACAAUGGGGGCCACCCUGAUCCAGCCAUCCCGCGUGCAGGAAGACGGCCCUCAGGGUUGUAAACUGCUUUUAGGUACCAAGAACCGUACUCAUUUAUGAGUGCCUGACGGUCGUGCCUGCAUAAGCACCGGCUACCCCCGUGCCAGCAGCCGCGGUAAUACGGAGGGUGCAAGCGUUAUCCGGAAUCACUGGGUUUAAAGGGUGCGUAGGUGGCUAGGUAAGUCAGAGGUGAAAGCCCGGCGCUUAACGUCGGAAUUGCCUUUGAUACUGCUUAGCUUGAAUUGGGUUGAGGUAGGCGGAAUGAGUCAUGUAGCGGUGAAAUGCAUAGAUAUGACUUAGAACACCGAUUGCGAAGGCAGCUUACUGGACCUUGAUUGACACUGAGGCACGAAAGCGUGGGGAGCGAAC